rnacentral:rRNA from 1 species
UGGGGAAUAUUGCACAAUGGGCGCAAGCCUGAUGCAGCCAUGCCGCGUGUGUGAAGAAGGCCUUCGGGUUGUAAAGCACUUUCAGCGAGGAGGAAGGUGGUGAACUUAAUACGUUCAUCAAUUGACGUUACUCGCAGAAGAAGCACCGGCUAACUCCGUGCCAGCAGCCGCGGUAAUACGGAGGGUGCAAGCGUUAAUCGGAAUUACUGGGCGUAAAGCGCACGCAGGCGGUUUGUUAAGUCAGAUGUGAAAUCCCCGGGCUCAACCUGGGAACUGCAUUUGAAACUGGCAAGCUAGAGUCUCGUAGAGGGGGGUAGAAUUCCAGGUGUAGCGGUGAAAUGCGUAGAGAUCUGGAGGAAUACCGGUGGCGAAGGCGGCCCCCCUGGACGAAGACUGACGCUCAGGUGCGAAAGCGUGGGGAGCAAAACAGGAUUAGAUACCCUGGUAGUCCACGCUGUAAAACGAUGUCGAUUUUGGAGGUUGUGCCCUUGAGGCGUGGCUUCCGGAGCUAACGCGUUAAAUCGACCGCCUGGGGAGUACGGCCGCAAGGUUAAAAACUC